AGUCGAGCGCACCUUCGGGUGAGCGGCGGACGGGUGAGUAACGCGUGGGAAUAUGCCCUUUAGUAAGGAAUAGCCACUAGAAAUGGUGAGUAAUACCUUAUACGCCCUUCGGGGGAAAGAUUUAUCGCUAAAGGAUUAGCCCGCGUUGGAUUAGGUAGUUGGUGGGGUAAUGGCCUACCAAGCCGACGAUCCAUAGCUGGUUUGAGAGGAUGGUCAGCCACACUGGGACUGAGACACGGCCCAGACUCCUACGGGAGGCAGCAGUGGGGAAUCUUAGACAUGGGGGAAACCCUGAUCUAGCCAUGCCGCGUGAGUGAUGAAGCCCUAGGUCGUAAAGCUCUUUCAGCUGUGAAGAUAUGACGUAGCAGCAGAAGAAACCCCGGCUAACUCCGUGCCGCAGCCGCGGUAAUACGAGGGGUAGCGUUGUUCGGAAUUACUGGGCGUAAAGCGCGCGUAGCGGACUAUUAAGUCAGAGUGAAAUCCCAGGGCUCAACCCUGGAACUGCCUUUGAUACUGGUAGUCUUGAGUUCGAGAGAGUGAGUGGAAUUCCGAGUGUAGAGGUGAAAUUCGUAGAUAUUCGGAGGAACACCAGUGGCGA
rnacentral:rRNA from 1 species